rnacentral:rRNA from 2 species
UACGGAGGGUGCAAGCGUUGUCCGGAUUUAUUGGGUUUAAAGGGUGCGUAGGCGGUUCGUUAAGUCCGGGGUGAAAGCCCACUGCUCAACAGUGGAACUGCCCCGGAAACUGGCGGACUUGAGUACAGACGAGGUUGGCGGAAUGGAAGGUGUAGCGGUGAAAUGCAUAGAUACCUUCCAGAACCCCGAUUGCGAAGGCAGCUGACUAGGCUGUAACUGACGCUGAGGCACGAAAGCGUGGGGAGCGAACAGG